UACAGAGGUCUCAAGCGUUUGUUCGGAUUCAUUGGGCGUAAAGGGUGCGUAGCGGCGCCGUAAGUCAGGUGUGAAAUUUCGGAGCUUAACUCCGAAACUGCAUUUGAUACUGCGGUGCUUGAGGACUGGAGAGGAGACUGGAAUUUACGGUGUAGCAGUGAAAUGCGUAGAGAUCGUAAGGAAGACCAGUGGCGAAGGCGGGUCUCUGGACAGUUCCUGACGCUGAGGCACGAAGGCCAGGGGAGCAAACGGG
rnacentral:rRNA from 1 species